UGCAUGUGUGUGUGUGUGUGUGUGUGGGUGUUUUUUGUAUCCAUGUGAAUGGGUCGCCCACACAUACACUCGCACACUUUCAAU
rnacentral:pre_miRNA from 1 species